rnacentral:sRNA from 1 species
UGUGUUCCUCCCAAAGCUGGGCACUCGGUGGAAGAGGACAAUCUUCCCGGAUAGAGGAUGACUGUUCUUAAGUCAAGGAUAUGAGUGGCUGUGCUCUCCUGUUCGAGCCACCAAACAAGCUCUCAAGGUCCAUUCAUAGGAGAAGGUGGGAUGGUCAAGCUUUCAAGACUCUAGACACAUCCAAAUGAGGAGCUGCAUGUGGCAAUCUGCCUUUCCUA